rnacentral:rRNA from 1 species
UACGUAGGGUGCAAGCGUUAAUCGGAAUUACUGGGCGUAAGGCGUGCGCAGGCGGUUAUGUAAGACAGGUGUGAAAUCCCAGGGCUUAACCUUGGAACUGCAUUUGUGACUGCAUAGCUAGAGUACGGUAGAGGGGGAUGGAAUUCCGCGUGUAGCAGUGAAAUGCGUAGAUAUGCGGAGGAACACCGAUGGCGAAGGCAAUCCCCUGGACCUGUACUGACGCUCAUGCACGAAAGCGUGGGGAGCAAACAGG